GAUGAACGCUGGCGGCGUGCCUAAUACAUGCAAGUCGAGCGAACGGACGAGAAGCUUGCUUCUCUGAUGUUAGCGGCGGACGGGUGAGUAACACGUGGAUAACCUACCUAUAAGACUGGGAUAACUUCGGGAAACCGGAGCUAAUACCGGAUAAUAUUUUGAACCGCAUGGUUCAAAAGUAAAAGACGGUCUUGCUGUCACUUAUAGAUGGAUCCGCGCUGCAUUAGCUAGUUGGUAAGGUAACGGCUUACCAAGGCAACGAUGCAUAGCCGACCUGAGAGGGUGAUCGGCCACACUGGAACUGAGACACGGUCCAGACUCCUACGGGAGGCAGCAGUAGGGAAUCUUCCGCAAUGGGCGAAAGCCUGACGGAGCAACGCCGCGUGAGUGAUGAAGGUCUUCGGAUCGUAAAACUCUGUUAUUAGGGAAGAAUAUAUGUGUAAGUAACUGUGCACAUCUUGACGGUACCUAAUCAGAAAGCCACGGCUAACUACGUGCCAGCAGCCGCGGUAAUACGUAGGUGGCAAGCGUUAUCCGGAAUUAUUGGGCGUAAAGCGCGCGUAGGCGGUUUUUUAAGUCUGAUGUGAAAGCCCACGGCUCAACCGUGGAGGGUCAUUGGAAACUGGAAAACUUGAGUGCAGAAGAGGAAAGUGGAAUUCCAUGUGUAGCGGUGAAAUGCGCAGAGAUAUGGAGGAACACCAGUGGCGAAGGCGACUUUCUGGUCUGUAACUGACGCUGAUGUGCGAAAGCGUGGGGAUCAAACAGGAUUAGAUACCCUGGUAGUCCACGCCGUAAACGAUGAGUGCUAAGUGUUAGGGGGUUUCCGCCCCUUAGUGCUGCAGCUAACGCAUUAAGCACUCCGCCUGGGGAGUACGACCGCAAGGUUGAAACUCAAAGGAAUUGACGGGGACCCGCACAAGCGGUGGAGCAUGUGGUUUAAUUCGAAGCAACGCGAAGAACCUUACCAAAUCUUGACAUCCUUUGACAACUCUAGAGAUAGAGCCUUCCCCUUCGGGGGACAAAGUGACAGGUGGUGCAUGGUUGUCGUCGGCUCGUGUCGUGAGAUGUUGGGUUAGGUCCCGCAACGAGCGCAACCCUUAAGCUUAGUUGCCAUCAUUAAGUUGGGCACUCUAAGUUGACUGCCGGUGACAAACCGGAGGAAGGUGGGGAUGACGUCAAAUCAUCAUGCCCCUUAUGAUUUGGGCUACACACGUGCUACAAUGGACAAUACAAAGGGCAGCGAAACCGCGAGGUCAAGCAAAUCCCAUAAAGUUGUUCUCAGUUCGGAUUGUAGUCUGCAACUCGACUACAUGAAGCUGGAAUCGCUAGUAAUCGUAGAUCAGCAUGCUACGGUGAAUACGUUCCCGGGUCU
rnacentral:rRNA from 1 species